rnacentral:sRNA from 1 species
CGCACAUACCCAAACACAAAACAAACACAACAAGUAGGGUGAGCUAACAUGCAACAAAUCAUUUAUAAGACAUGCAUAAUUACUUCGAUACAAACAUCAUAUAAUAAUUAUGUCAAACACCCUCAUACCAUCGUACCACAAUUCCUAUUAGACACUCGUCCCACAAUACCCAAUAAAUACCAUAAUACUCAAUAGACAUUCAUUCCAUAAUACCCAAUAAACACUCAUCCCACAAUACCCAAUAAACACUCAUCCCACAAUACUUAACACUCAUUCCACAAUACCCAAUAGGCACUUAUCCCCACGAUAUUAAAUAGGCAUUUAUCCCCACGAUACUCAAUAGGCACUUAUCCCAACGAUAUGUUGAUGAGCGAUACAACGGAAGGUUUUUCACUUGUGAUGUCAUUCUUAGUCCCCUCACUAUGUCCAAAACCGGCACAUAGACCAGGACAUUUUGCCCUCCAUACCAUUCAUAAGGUUAGUCCCCUCACUAUGUCCUAAACCGGCACAUAGACCAGGACCUCCUGCCCCUCUCACCACAUAAUUCAUCAUUCUCUACUUGAGACUGAAUGAUUAUUAGAGUAUCAGGAUAACCUCCAACUUCAUGACCCUCAACAUCAACAUAUACGCACAUACCAUGACAUUACAGAAUCUCUC